GACGAACGCUGGCGGCGUGCUUAACACAUGCAAGUCGAACGCUGAAGCUCAGCUUUUGUUGGGUGGAUGAGUGGCGAACGGGUGAGUAACACGUGAGUAACCUGCCCCCUUCUUUGGGAUAACGCCCGGAAACGGGUGCUAAUGCUGGAUAUUCACUGGUCUUCGCAUGGGGGUUGGUGGAAAGGGUUUUUCUGGUGGGGGAUGGGCUCGCGGCCUAUCAGCUUGUUGGUGGGGUGAUGGCCUACCAAGGCUUUGACGGGUAGCCGGCCUGAGAGGGUGACCGGUCACAUUGGGACUGAGAUACGGCCCAGACUCCUACGGGAGGCAGCAGUGGGGAAUAUUGCACAAUGGGCGCAAGCCUGAUGCAGCGACGCCGCGUGAGGGAUGGAGGCCUUCGGGUUGUGAACCUCUUUCGCUCAUGGUCAAGCCGCAACAAUGGUUGUGGUGAGGGUAGUGGGUAAAGAAGCGCCGGCUAACUACGUG
rnacentral:rRNA from 1 species